rnacentral:rRNA from 1 species
UACGUAGGGUGCGAGCGUUGUCCGGAAUUAUUGGGCGUAAAGAGCUCGUAGGCGGUGUGUCACGUCGGCCGUGAAAACCUGCAGCUUAACUGUGGGCGUGCGGUCGAUACGGGCAUCACUGGAGUUCGGCAGGGGAGACUGGAAUUCCUGGUGUAGCGGUGAAAUGCGCAGAUAUCAGGAGGAACACCGGUGGCGAAGGCGGGUCUCUGGGCCGAUACUGACGCUGAGGAGCGAAAGCGUGGGGAGCGAACGGG